CAUUAUUGAACAAAGGCUUUUGGCUGGAUGUUGUUGUGCUGGCCCUUUUGGUGCAAUGUGCACACUUCCCCCUCCAGUCAUUUGUUUCUUCUGUUCCACCUGUGCACUGCCUGUAGACGCAACUCUGUGUCUAUGAUAAAUGCCUACACACACAAUUGUAUCUGUAUUAGUUGGCAUUAUUACAUGUAUAAAAAUACAACUUUCAACAAUGGAUCUCUUGGCUCUCGCAUCGAUGAAGAACACAGCGAAAUGUGAUAAGUAAUGUGAAUUGCAGAAUCCAGUGAAUCAUCGAAUCUUUGAACGCAUCUUGCGCUCCUUGGCAUUCUGAGGAGCAUGCCUGUUUGAGUGUCAUUAAACUAUCAAAACUCUUUUCACGAGUGUUUUGGACUUUGGGAGUACUUCUGCUGCUCUGUCUGAGCCAGCUCUCCUCAAAAGCAAUUAGUUGGAGAAGACCCAUCAGUGUGAUAAAUCUUUUACACUGGCUUUCUCCUCUUAAUAACUACAUUAUUUGACCUCAAAUCAGGUAGGAUUACCCGCUGAACUUAAGCAUAUCAAUAAGCGGAGGAAAAGAAACUAACAAGGAUUCCCCUAGUAACUGCGAGUGAAGCGGGAAAAGCUCAAAUUUAAAAUCUGGCAGUCUCCUUUUUCUUUUUUGGCUGUCCGAGUUGUAAUCUAGAGAAGUGCUUACCUGCGCUGGA
rnacentral:rRNA from 1 species